CCCCUAGUAACGGCGAGUGAAGCGGGAACAGCUCAAAUUUGUAAUCUGGCGGCCUUCGGYCGUCCGAGUUGUAAUCUGGAGAAGCGUUUUCAGUGCCGGCCCGCGUACAAGUCCCCUGGAACGGGGCGUCGCAGAGGGUGAGAAUCCCGUCUCUGACGCGGUCAUGCCGGCGCGCUGCGAUGCGCUCUCGAAGAGUCGAGUUGUUUGGGAAUGCAGCUCAAAACGGGUGGUAAAUUCCAUCUAAAGCUAAAUACUGGCGAAAGACCGAUAGCGAACAAGUACCGUGAGGGAAAGAUGAAAAGCACUUUGGAAAGAGAGUCAAACAGUACGUGAAAUUGUUGAAAGGGAAACGCUUGAAGUCAGUCGCGUCUCCCGGGACUUCAGUCGCGCUCUCAAAGGCGCGGCGUACUUCCCGGGUCUGGACGGGCCAGCGUCGAUUUCGACCGUCGUACAAAGGCGUGAGGAACGUGGCACCUCGGGGUGUGUUAUAGCCUCGCGUUCCGUAUGCGACGGUGGGGAUCGAGGGACGCAGCGCGCCUCUAACGGUCGGGGUUCGCCCACGUAACGCGCUUGGGAUGCUGGCUUAAUGGCUUUAAGCGACCCGUCUUGAAACACGGACCAAGGAGUCUAACAUGCUCGCGAGUGUUCGGGUGGAAAACCCGUGCGCGUAAUGAAAGUGAAAGGUUGGGACCCUUUUUUUUUWUUUUUWAAGAGGGGGGCACCGACGCCCGGACCUGAGCUGCUGCGACGGUUCCGAGGCGGAGCGCGUAUGUUGGGACCCGAAAGAUGGUGAACUAUGCCUGAGUAGGGCGAAGCCAGAGGAAACUCUGGUGGAGGCUCGUAGCGAUUCUGACGUGCAAAUCGAUCGUCGAACUUGGGUAUAGGGGCGAAAGACUAAUCGAACCAUCUAGUAGCUGGUUCCCGCCGAAGUUUCCCUCAGGAUAGCAGAGACUCGUUUGCAGUUUUAUGUGGUAAAGCGAAUGAUUAGGGGCCUUGGGGUCGAAACGACCUUAACCCAUUCUCAAACUUUAAAUAUGUAAGAACGGGCCGUCGCUC
rnacentral:rRNA from 1 species